rnacentral:rRNA from 1 species
UACGUAGGAUCCGAGCGUUGUCCGGAAUUACUGGGUGUAAAGGGCGUGUAGGUGGAACUUUAAGUCGGUGGUGAAAGCCUGCAGCUUAACUGCAGAACUGCCUUCGAUACUGAAGUUCUUGAGUACGGCAGAGGGAGAUGGAAUUCAUGGUGUAGCGGUGAAAUGUGUAGAUAUCAUGAAGAACACCGGUAGCGAAGGCGGUCUCCUGGUCCGUAACUGACACUGAGGCGCGAAAGCGUGGGGAGCAAACAGG